ACGACCCCCGGCGUCGGUCCCGUAAUUUGGGUAAGGUCAUCGAUACCCUGACAUGCGGACUCGCCGACCUCAUGGGGUAC
rfam:Hepatitis C virus genotype 6, complete genome